rnacentral:rRNA from 1 species
CGAAGGACCCAAGCGUUAUCCGGAUUUAUUGGGUUUAAAGGGUGCGUAGGCGGGUUGUUAAGUCAGUGGUGAAAGCUCCGAGCCUAACUCGGAAACUGCCAUUGAUACUGACGAUCUUGAGUACAUUUGAGGUGGGCGGAAUGUGUCAUGUAGCGGUGAAAUGCUUAGAUAUGACACAGAACACCGAUUGCGAAGGCAGCUCACUAAACUGUAACUGACGCUGAGGCACGAAAGCGUGGGGAGCAAACAGGAUUAGAUACCCUGGUAGUCCACGCCCUAAACGAUGAUCACUCGAUGUGUGCGAUACACUGUACGCGUCCGAGCGAAAGCAUUAAGUGAUCCACCUGGGGAGUACGGCCGCAAGGCUG